AAUAGUGUAAAGUGAAAGUGAUAUUGACAUAUGCAAUGAUAAGUAAUUCAGUGGCAAGUGCAAGUGUUAUGAAACCAGUGAACAAUAUUAUUUGUUUAUGUAAAUGUAAUGUUAGAGUAUUUGUGAUAUCUAUGAAAUCAUAUGUGAAAGAGUGACUCGUUGAGAUAUAUGAAAUUAUGGUUACUGUAUUGAUUGGGAAUUGGUUUU
rnacentral:lncRNA from 1 species